ACGGAAGGCAGCAGUGGGGAAUAUUGGACAAUGGGCGCAAGCCUGAUCCAGCCAUACCGCGUGGGUGAAGAAGGCCUUCGGGUUGUAAAGCCCUUUUGUUGGGAAAGAAAAGCAGUCGAUUAAUACUCGGUUGUUCUGACGGUACCCAAAGAAUAAGCACCGGCUAACUUCGUGCCAGCAGCCGCGGUAAUACGAAGGGUGCAAGCGUUACUCGGAAUUACUGGGCGUAAAGCGUGCGUAGGUGGUUGUUUAAGUCUGUUGUGAAAGCCCUGGGCUCAACCUGGGAAUUGCAGUGGAUACUGGGCGACUAGAGUGUGGUAGAGGGUAGUGGAAUUCCCGGUGUAGCAGUGAAAUGCGUAGAGAUCGGGAGGAACAUCCAUGGCGAAGGCAGCUACCUGGACCAACACUGACACUGAGGCACGAAAGCGUGGGGAGCAAACAGGAUUAGAUACCCUGGUA
rnacentral:rRNA from 1 species